UCUCACGCAAUGAUAAGCUGAUAACUCUUCGAUCAGUACUAUGUCUUAUCAUAAUAAGUAGAUCAGCUUUUCACUGAUAGGUACGUAGAAAAUGAAAGACCCCUGUACAGCGCAUCGAAGAUAGCGAGACCCAGUCUCUCUCUCUCUCUCUGCUUUAUCUUCUUGUAUUUCUUCUUCUUCUUCUCAGGCUUUAAACCCUAGAAAUCCUCCAAAUUCGAGCUCACGUAAACUUUGGAGAGAGAAUCUUUAGGGGAAAAUCUCUAAAUCUCUACAAAUUUAUUCAAAUUCGAAGUUAUAGCUGACUUAACUCGAGCUCGAGUUGUUCCUUGACUCGGCUGGUUUUGGUAGAUCGAGUUUCUUUUGGUUUUGAGCAUACAAAAUGUCGUCGUUGAGCAGAGAGCUGGUGUUUCUCAUACUUCAGUUUCUGGAGGAAGAGAAAUUCAAAGAGUCGGUUCAUAGGCUUGAGAAAGAAUCAGGGUUUUUCUUCAACAUGAAAUACUUUGAAGAGAAAGUUCAAGCUGGAGAAUGGGAUGAAGUUGAGAAGUAUUUAUCAGGUUUUACUAAAGUUGAUGAUAACCGAUAUUCCAUGAAGAUAUUCUUUGAGAUAAGGAAGCAGAAGUAUCUGGAAGCACUUGAUCGGCAAGACAAGGCAAAGGCUGUUGAAAUAUUGGUGAGUGAUUUGAAGGUGUUCUCCACAUUUAAUGAGGACUUGUACAAAGAAAUUACUCAACUUUUGACCCUCAACAAUUUCAGGGAAAAUGAUCAGCUGUCAAAAUAUGGAGAUACAAAAACUGCUCGCUGUAUAAUGUUGGUAGAACUAAAGAAACUCAUAGAAGCAAAUCCACUUUUUCGUGAUAAGCUUGCUUUCCCUACUUUGAAGUCCUCUAGACUAAGGACUUUGAUCAACCAAAGCUUGAACUGGCAGCAUCAGCUUUGCAAGAAUCCAAGGCCAAACCCAGACAUCAAGACUUUAUUCACAGAUCACAAUUGUAUGCCUCCAAACGGUCCUCUUGCACCUACACCUGUCAAUCUUCCAGUUGCUGCAGUUGCAAAACCUGCUGCUUAUACAUCACUUGGAGCUCAUAGUCCCUUCCCACCAACAGCAGCAGCAGCUAAUGCUGGUGCUAUAGCAGGAUGGAUGGCCAAUGCUUCUGUCUCUUCAUCUGUCCAAGCUGCUGUUGUCACAGCAUCGUCCAUACCUCUUGCGCAAAAUCAAGUUUCAGUCUUGAAGCGUCCAAGAACACCUCCAUCUGCGCCCAGCAUGGUUGAUUAUCAGAACCCUGACCAUGAACAGCUAAUGAAAAGAUUGUGGCCUGCUCCAUCAGUUGAGGAGGUUACAUAUCCUACAACACGGCAGCAAGCUGGUUCAUUGGAUGACCUGCCAAGAACAGUGGCUUUGACCAUGCAUCAAGGAUCCAUGGUCACAAGCAUGGAUUUUCAUCCUUCACACCACACAUUUCUACUUGUUGGUUCUGCUAAUGGUGAAAUUGCACUCUGGGAACUUGGAAUGCGGGAGAGGUUGGUUUCAAAGCCAUUCAAGAUAUGGGAAAUGUCUAAAUGUUCAAUGCCAUUUCAGGCUUUGAUGGUCAAUGAUACACCUAUAUCUGUCAGCCGCGUCACAUGGAGUCCUGAUGGAAAUUUUGUAGGGGUUGCAUUUUCCAAACACUUAAUUCACUUGUAUGCUUAUCCUGGACCAAAUGAUCUAAUCCAGCGUUUAGAGAUUGAUGCCCAUGUUGGUGGCAUAAAUGACUUAGCUUUUGCUCAUCCAAGUAAACAACUCUGCAUUGUUACCUGUGGAGAUGACAAGCUCAUAAAGGUGUGGGAUUCAAUGACGGGACAAAAACUGUUCAAUUUUGAAGGUCAUGAUGCUCCAGUUUAUUCCAUCUGCCCACAUCAUAAAGAGAACAUUCAGUUCAUAUUUUCAACUGCUGCCGAUGGGAAAAUUAAGGCCUGGCUGUAUGAUAAUAUGGGUUCCAGAGUUGAUUACAAUGCUCCAGGUCACUGGUGUACUACAAUGCUUUAUAGUGCUGAUGGAAGUAGAUUGUUCUCUUGUGGCACAAGUAAAGAUGGAGAAUCUUUUCUAGUUGAGUGGAAUGAAAGUGAAGGAGCAAUAAAGAGGACUUAUGUGGGGUUUAGAAAGAAAUCAGCAGGUGUUGUGUCAUUUGACACGACACAAAAUCAUUAUUUGGCUGCAGGAGAAGAUAGCGGGGUAAAGUUUUGGGACAUGGAUAAUAUCAAUCUUCUUGCUUUCACAGAUGCUGAGGGUGGACUCCCUAGUCUUCCCCGCGUGAAAUUCAAUAAGGAAGGAAAUCUCCUUGCUGUGACAACAGCAGACAACGGAUUCAAAAUACUUGCAAAUUCUGUGGGUCUUAGAUCUUUAAGAGCAGUUGAGACAUCACCUUUUGAUCCAUUGAGAACACCCAUUGUUUCUGCUGCAAUUAAGGCUUCUGGCUCUUCUGCAGUAGCAAAUGUUGGUCCUGUCAGUUGUAAAGUGGAAAGGAGCUCUCCUGUCAGGCAUUCUCCUAUACUUAAUGGAGUCGAUCCCUUGAGUAUAAGUGUCGAAAAGCCAAGAGGUGUAGAUGAUGCAACUGACAAGACUAAACCCUGGCAAUUAGCUGAAAUUGUGGAUCCUGGUCAGUGUCGGUUAGUUACCUUAUCUGACAGCACAGAUAGCUCCAGCGAGGUUGUUCGGCUUUUGUAUACAAAUUCUGCUGUUGGUAUUUUGGCACUUGGGUCAAAUGGUGUUCAGAAACUUUGGAAGUGGCCCCGAAAUGAACAGAAUCCAUCUGGAAAGGCCACUACCAAUGUCGUUCCACAGCAUUGGCAACCAAAUAGUGGUCUUCUUAUGACUAAUGAUGUCACAGGUGUCAACCUGGAAGAAGUGGUACCAUGCAUAGCACUCUCAAAGAAUGAUUCAUAUGUAAUGUCAGCCACAGGGGGAAAAGUUUCUUUGUUUAACAUGAUGACUUUCAAGGUAAUGACAACAUUCAUGUCUCCUCCUCCAGCUUCAACCUUCCUAGCAUUCCACCCUCAGGAUAAUAAUAUCAUAGCAAUUGGAAUGGAGGAUUCAACUAUCCAUAUUUACAAUGUUCGGGUAGAUGAGGUGAAAUCAAAAUUGAAAGGUCACCAAAAACGAAUAACUGGUUUGGCUUUUUCAACCAGCCUCAAUAUCUUGGUUUCGUCAGGUGCUGAUGCUCACCUGUGUGUAUGGAGCAUUGAUACAUGGGAGAAAAGGAAAUCAGUUCCAAUCCAAAUCCCAUCUGGAAAGGCACCUACAGGUGACACACGAGUACAAUUUCACUUCAAUCAAAUUCGCAUGCUGGUAGUUCAUGAAACACAGUUAGCAAUAUAUGAUGCCUCCAAGAUGGAGCGCAUUCGACAGUGGAUUCCACAAGAUGUACUGCCUGCACCAAUAUCUCACGCAGCAUACUCCUGUAAUAGCCAAUCUGUUUAUGCUACCUUUUGUGAUGGUAAUGUUGGGGUAUUUGAUGCUGAUAGCCUAAGACUUCGAUGCCGUAUAGCUUCGUCAGUGUACUUGUCCCAGGCAAUCUUAAAAGGAAACCAAGCCGUAUACCCGCUUGUUGUGGCUGCACAUCCGAUGGAGGCAAACCAAUUUGCAAUCGGAUUGACCGACGGAUCGGUGAAAGUGAUGGAGCCGUCUGAAUCAGAAGGGAAAUGGGGAGUAAAUCCACCCAUGGAUAACGGUAGGACUACAUCGUCAUCUACCACAAGCAAUCACACACCUGAUCAGUUACAAAGAAACAACGGGCCGAACUGUUUUAGAGGCGGUUUCAUAUUAGGCUUAGGAUCCAAACGCCUAUUUCCCAAAACGCCUAUAUUUAUUAUUUAUUAUCUCUUUCUUGCGGAAACUUCUGAAGUCACUCUUCUGCUUCUUCUCAUUGCUCGCGGCUAACACUUUCCAGGCAAUCGCGGGCAGUGUUACCAAUUUGGUUGAAAACAUGGCAAAUUUUGCAAAACCAGAGAAUGCUUUGAAGCGAGCUGAAGAGUUGAUUAAUGUUGGGCAGAAGCAAG